rnacentral:lncRNA from 1 species
CUCAGCCUCUGCCCCCAGACGUCUGUGAGUGAUGCAGCAGCACUGCCAGAAGAAUGCGCCUUACCAGCUAGGAAUUCCACUGAUGCUGUUGUUUACCUCAUGGAUGGUCUUACAUCAUGUAGAGGUCUUAAAAUUGGAGCAGUCUCUACCCUAAAGCUCUAGACUAGUCUCCAAGUGUUCAGGGCUGAGAGGAGAGAUAUUAGGUUUCCACUUUAGCCAGUACUUUGAUGUUCAAAGCUGUUUAAUAUUCAUUAAACCAGUCCUUCAGUUGUAAUUGCAGUCAUUACCCACCCUUCUAUGGAGGGGUGGGGGCCUCUUGGAGGAAAUACACAGGCUUGUGUAUUUGGCAUCAGACUUCACUUUUAGGUGCUCCCACUUUCUAGCUGCAUGACCUUGGCAAUGACUGAAACACUUUGGGAGGCCGAGGCGGGUGGAUCAUGAGGUCAGGAGAUCGAGACCAUCCUGGCUAACAAGGUGAAACCCCGUCUCUACUAAAAAUACAAAAAAUUAGCCGGGCGCGGUGGCGGGCGCCUGUAGUCCCAGCUACUCGGGAGGCUGAGGCAGGAGAAUGGCGUGAACCCGGGAAGCGGAGCUUGCAGUGAGCCGAGAUUGCGCCACUGCAGUCCGCAGUCCGCAGUCCGGCCU